UGAAAUUGUCCACAUCAGCAUUUUACUGUUAAUAUAUUUCCAUGUCAUCUUUCUUUUUAUUUUACUAAAAUAGUUAAUUAUUGUAUUUUUUUUAGAGAAUUGUUAUUGGCAUUCCAAAAUUCUCAUUUUACACUCCAAACUUUCUAUAUUUAGAAAGAAAAAUGCACUUAUAAGGCGUGUAGAAUGAGAUUUUUGGAAUAGUAAUAACACUUCCCUUUUUUAUCCUCGCUGUGUUUUUAUUUCACGAUUCUUACGCCUCCAACGCCUCAUUUGCUUGCCGAACUGAAUUCACGGAUCCGUUCCACCAAAUAGUCACUCUAUUUUCUUCAGUUUUUUAUUUUCGUAACUGCAAAUUCCACUAUAAUCUCACACCCAUUUUCAAAUUCAUCAUUAUUAUCUUUAAUAUGAAUCCUCAAAUUCAAUUUUCGGCAAGAUUUGAGUCAAAAUCAUAUUUUUUCCCCAAGCAUUCGAAGGAGCGCAAUUUUUUGCAGGGGGGCUUGUAGACCCUCACGAGCUAAAAUUCGAGGUACAGGAAACUGUGAGGUAUCGUUCAAGCCUUCUUCAUUUUGCUAAGUUGUACCUAAAAAUAGAAGGAUUUAUUCAAGACGGGACAUGACGAAGAGAUGAAAAAAAACACCAUUUUGGAACUUGUUUAAGGCUUAUCAUGAUGGUCAUGUUACAUUUGAGUUUUGCAAAAAAAUUGACACAGAUAUUGCUAAAAUAGUAAAGCAGUACAAUAAAGAUAUGAAGUUCUUUGUGUUUGGG